rnacentral:rRNA from 1 species
UACGGGAGGCAGCAGUGAGGAAUAUUGGUCAAUGGGCGAGAGCCUGAACCAGCCAAGUAGCGUGCAGGAUGACGGCCCUAUGGGUUGUAAACUGCUUUUAUAUAGGGAUAAAGUGAGGGACGUGUCCCUUAUUGUAGGUACUAUAUGAAUAAGGACCGGCUAAUUCCGUGCCAGCAGCCGCGGUAAU